GUGGGGAAUUUUGGACAAUGGGCGCAAGCCUGAUCCAGCCAUGCCGCGUGCAGGAUGAAGGCCUUCGGGUUGUAAACUGCUUUUGUACGGAACGAAAAGACUCUUUCUAAUAAAGAGGGUCCAUGACGGUACCGUAAGAAUAAGCACCGGCUAACUACGUGCCAGCAGCCGCGGUAAUACGUAGGGUGCGAGCGUUAAUCGGAAUUACUGGGCGUAAAGCGUGCGCAGGCGGUGAUGUAAGACAGAUGUGAAAUCCCCGGGCUCAACCUGGGAACUGCAUUUGUGACUGCAUCGCUGGAGUGCGGCAGAGGGGGAUGGAAUUCCGCGUGUAGCAGUGAAAUGCGUAGAUAUGCGGAGGAACACCGAUGGCGAAGGCAAUCCCCUGGGCCUGCACUGACGCUCAUGCACGAAAGCGUGGGGAGCAAACAGGAUUAGAAACCCGUGUAGUCC
rnacentral:rRNA from 1 species